rnacentral:rRNA from 1 species
GACUCAACACGGGGAAACUCACCAGGUCCAAGACACCAAUGAGGGAUUGACAAGAUUGAGAGCUCUUUCUUGAUUUUUGUGGGUGGUGGUGCAUGGCCGUUCUUAGUUGGGUGGAGUGAUUUUGUCUGCUUAAUUGCGAUAACGAAACGAGACCUUAACCUACUAAAUAGUCCGUAUUGCUUUGGCAGUACGCUGGCUUCUUAGAGGGACUAUCGGCUCAAGCCGAUGGAAGUUUGAGCGCAAGUAACAGGUCUGUGAUGCCCUUAGAUGUUCUGGGCCGCACGCGCGCUACACUGACGGAGCCAGCGAGUACCUCCUUGGCCGAAAGGCCCGGGUAAUCUUGUUAAACUCCGUCGGUGCUGGGGAUAGAGCAUUGCAAUUAUUGCUCUUCAACGAGGAAU